GUAUCAAAGUCCCAGGGCUGGAUUUACUAACACUAGCGCAGUUUACGCUGCGUCUGUUUAUGUGAGUUCGGUAAUAGCGCACGCUAUGCUUCCUCAUUUUGCGUAGCAUUUAUCAAACCUGACAAUCAUCAGGUAAUCACUGCAUACUCCGCCCUCUAGCAUAAUUAACAAGCCUCUAAAAGAG